rnacentral:rRNA from 1 species
GACGUAGGGCGCAAGCGUUGUCCGGAUUUAUUGGGCGUAAAGAGCUCGUAGGCGGCUUGUCGCGUCGACUGUGAAAACUCACGGCUCAACCGUGGAACUGCAGUCGAUACGGGCAGGCUAGAGUUCGGUAGGGGAGACUGGAAUUCCUGGUGUAGCGGUGAAAUUCGUAGAUAUCGAGAGGAACACCGGUGGCGAAGGCGGCCAACUGGACGAAGACUGACGCUGAGACUCGAAAGCGUGGGGAGCGAGCCGG